rnacentral:rRNA from 1 species
UGGGGAAUAUUGCACAAUGGGCGAAAGCCUGAUGCAGCAACGCCGCGUGAGUGAUGAAGGCCUUCGGGUUGUAAAGCUCUGUCUUUUGGGACGAUAAUGACGGUACCAAAGGAGGAAGCCACGGCUAACUACGUGCCAGCAGCCGCGGUAAUACGUAGGUGGCAAGCGUUGUCCGGAUUUACUGGGCGUAAAGGAUGCGUAGGCGGAUUUUUAAGUGAGAUGUGAAAACCCUAAGCUUAACUUGGGGACUGCAUUUCAUACUGGAAAUCUAGAGUGCGGGAGAGGAGAAUGGAAUUCCUAGUGUAGCGGUGAAAUGCGUAGAGAUUAGGAAGAACACCAGUGGCGAAGGCGAUUCUCUGGACCGUAACUGACGCUGAGGCAUGAAAAGCGUGGGUAGCAAACAGGAUUUAGAUACCCUGGUAGUCCACGCCGUAAACGAUGAGUACUAGGUGUAGGAGGUAUCGACCCCUUCUGUGCCGCAGUUAACACAAUAAGUACUCCGCCUGGGAAGUACGAUCGCAAGAUUAAAACUUAAAUGAAUUGACGGGGUCAUAGC